AUUGAACGCUGGCGGCAUGCCUUACACAUGCAAGUCGAACGGUAACAGGUCUUCGGAUGCUGACGAGUGGCGAACGGGUGAGUAAUACAUCGGAACGUGCCUAGUAGUGGGGGAUAACUACUCGAAAGAGUGGCUAAUACCGCAUGAGAUCUACGGAUGAAAGCAGGGGAUCGCAAGACCUUGUGCUACUAGAGCGGCCGAUGGCAGAUUAGGUAGUUGGUGGGAUAAAAGCUUACCAAGCCGACGAUCUGUAGCUGGUCUGAGAGGACGAUCAGCCAAACUGGGACUGAGACACGGCCCAGACUCCUACGGGAGGAAGCAGUGGGGAAUUUUGGACAAUGGGCGCAAGCCUGAUCCAGCAAUGCCGCGUGCAGGAUGAAGGCCUUCGGGUUGUAAACUGCUUUUGUACGGAACGAAAAGCCCUGGGUUAAUACCCUGGGGUCACGACGGUACCGUAAGAGUAAGCACCGGCUAACUACGUGCCAGCCGCCGCGGUAACAC
rnacentral:rRNA from 1 species